GGGAAAGUCUCUGAUAUGUGUUG
rnacentral:siRNA from 1 species